AUACAAAAAUUAAAUUCUGACUAGCUACAAAAACAUAAUAAUAGUCUUUCAAAUCUAAUCUAACAUCAGACGAUAAUCGAAGAAGAUAAAUACCAACGACCUCUACAGCAAUUUUUUCUCCAUUGCUAACCCGAAGGAUCAUGUCACCUUCUCUUAACCUCUUACUUUCUAUCAGACCCUACAUUAAGGUACAUAUAUGAGCACUCGAGUCAGAGUCUAAUACCCAACUAC
rnacentral:lncRNA from 1 species